rnacentral:rRNA from 1 species
UACGAGAGGCCCAAACGUUAUUCGGAAUUACUGGGCUUAAAGCGUUCGUAGGCGGCGCAGAAAGUAGGGUGUGAAAGCCCUCGGCUCAACCGAGGAAUUGCGCUCUAAACUACUGUGCUUGAGGAAGCUAGAGGUGAGCGGAACUGAUGGUGGAGCGGUGAAAUGCGUUGAUAUCAUCAGGAACACCGGAGGCGAAGGCGGCUCACUGGGGCUUUUCUGACGCUGAGGAACGAAAGCCAGGGGAGCGAACGGG